AACGCUGGCGGCGUGCCUAACACAUGCAAGUCGCACGAGAAAGGGUAGCAAUACCUGAGUAAAGUGGCGCACGGGUGAGUAACACGUGAAUUAUCUACCUCCGAGUGGGGAAUAACUGAGAGAAAUCUUAGCUAAUACCGCAUAACACUUACGAGUCAAAGCAGCAAUGCGCUUGGAGAGGAGUUCGCGGCCGAUUAGUUAGUUGGCGGGGUAAUGGCCCACCAAGACGAUGAUCGGUAUCCGGCCUGAGAGGGCGCACGGACACACUGGAACUGAAACACGGUCCAGACUCCUACGGGAGGCAGCAGUGGGGAAUUUUGCGCAAUGGGGGAAACCCUGACGCAGCAACGCCGCGUGGAGGAUGAAAUAUCUUGGUAUGUAAACUCCUUUCGAUGGGGAAGGUUAUGACGGUACACAUAGAAGAAG
rnacentral:rRNA from 1 species